GAUUAACGCUGGCGGCGUGCCUAACACAUGCAAGUCGAGCGGCAGCGAGUUUUACACUGAAUUCUGGAAGCUUCUAGUUGAAAUAGAAGAUUUAUUCAAGAAUUUUGUGUAAAAUGUCGGCGAGCGGCGGACGGCUGAGUAACGCGUGGGAACGUACCCCAAAGUGAGGGAUAACGCAUCGAAAGGUGUUCUAAUACCGCAUAUGGUCUUCGGAUUAAAGCCUUCGGGCGCUUUGGGAACGGCCUGCGUAAGAUUAGAUAGUUGGUGGGGUAAUGGCCUACCAAGUCGACGAUCUGUAACUGGUUUGAGAGGAUGAUCAGUCAGACUGGAACUGAGACACGGUCCAGACUCCUACGGGAGGCAGCAGUGAGGAAUCUUCCACAAUGGGCGAAAGCCUGAUGGAGCAACGCCGCGUGCAGGAUGAAGGACUUCGGGUUGUAAACUGCUUUUAUAAGUGAGGAUUAUGACAGUAACUUAUGAAUAAGGAUCGGCUAACUACGUG
rnacentral:rRNA from 1 species